rnacentral:rRNA from 1 species
GCCUGACUGCGAGUCCGACAGGACGAGCAGGCACGAAAGUGGGGUUUAGUGAUCCGGUGGUUGAAUGUGGGAUUGCCAUCGCUCAACGAACAAUAGGUACUCUGGGGAUAACAGGCUGAUCGCGCUCGAGAGUUCAUAUCGACAGCGCGGAUUGGCACCUCGAUGUCGGCUCAUCCUAUCCUGGGGCUGUAUAAGGUCCCAAGGGUCCGGCUGUUCGCCGGUUAAAAGGGUACGUGAGCUGGGUUUAGAACGUCGUGAGACAGUUCGGUCUCUAUCUGGUGUGGGCGCACGAUGAUUGAAGGGAAGAUCUCCUUAGUACGAGAGGACCGGGAGAUACGAACCUCUGGUGUUCCAGUUGUCCUGCCAAGGGCAAUGGCUGGGUAGCCAUGUUCGGGAGGGAUAAGCGCUGAAUGCAUAUAAGUGCGAAACCCGUUGCAAGAUGAAUGAUCGAUUCCCCGCAAGGGGAUGAAGGCACGUUGUAGACUACGACGUUGAUAGGCCGUAUGUGUAAGAUCCGUAAGGAUUUUAGCUAAGCGGUACUAAUCUGCCAAACGCUUGAUCAU